rfam:Gossypium raimondii Chr12_contig_77, whole genome shotgun sequence.
UAUUAAAAAUUUAUUCCUUUAUACUGUUAAAAACUAACGUAACUGAUAGAAUAAUCAAACAAUGACAUCUCACAUGUACCUCAUGUUAACUAUAGGGAUCAGUUUUUUAACAGUAGAAAUAAAUAGAAAUUUUACCA